GCACUACGGUGCAGAAGUAGUUGAUGCCAUGCUUCCAGGAAAAGCCUCUAAGCAUCAGGUAACAUGAAAUCGUACCCCAAACCGACACAGGUGGUCAGGUAGAGAAUACUCAGGCGCUUGAGAGAACUCGGGUGAAGGAACUAGGCAAAAUGGUGCCGUAACUUCGGGAGAAGGCACGCUGGCAUUAGGUAAAGGGACUUGCUCCCGGCGCCGAAGCCAGUCGCAGAUACCAGCUGGCUGCAACUGUUUAAUAAAAACACAGCACUGUGCAAACACGAAAGUGGACGUAUACGGUGUGACGCCUGCCCGGUGCUGGAAGGUUAAUUGAUGGGGUCAGCCGCAAGGCGAAGCUCUUGAUCGAAGCCCCAGUAAACGGCGGCCGUAACUAUAACGGUCCUAAGGUAGCGAAAUUCCUUGUCGGGUAAGUUCCGACCUGCACGAAUGGCGUAAUGAUGGCCAGGCUGUCUCCACCCGAGACUCAGUGAAAUUGAACUCGCUGUGAAGAUGCAGUGUACCCGCGGCAAGACGGAAAGACCCCGUGAACCUUUACUAUAGCUUGACACUGAACAUUGAGCCUUGAUGUGUAGGAUAGGUGGGAGGCAUAGAAGUGUGGACGCCAGUCUGCAUGGAGCCAACCUUGAAAUACCACCCUUUAAUGUUUGAUGUUCUAACUCGGCCCCGUAAUCCGGGGUGAGGACAGUGUCUGGUGGGUAGUUUGACUGGGGCGGUCUCCUCCCAAAGAGUAACGGAGGAGCACGAAGGUUAGCUAAUCACGGUCGGACAUCGUGAGGUUAGUGCAAAGGCAUAAGCUAGCUUGACUGCGAGAGUGACGGCUCGAGCAGGUACGAAAGUAGGUCUUAGUGAUCCGGUGGUUCUGAAUGGAAGGGCCAUCGCUCAACGGAUAAAAGGUACUCCGGGGAUAACAGGCUGAUACCGCCCAAGAGUUCAUAUCGACGGCGGUGUUUGGCACCUCGAUGUCGGCUCAUCACAUCCUGGGGCUGAAGUAGGUCCCAAGGGUAUGGCUGUUCGCCAUUUAAAGUGGUACGCGAGCUGGGUUUAGAACGUCGUGAGACAGUUCGGUCCCUAUCUGCCGUGGGCGUUGGAAGAUUGAGAGGGGCUGCUCCUAGUACGAGAGGACCGGAGUGGACGAAUCACUGGUGUUCGGGUUGUCAUGCCAAUGGCAUUGCCCGGUAGCUAAAUUCGGAAGAGAUAACCGCUGAAAGCAUCUAAGCGGGAAACUUGCCUCGAGAUGAGUCUUCCCUGGGGCUUUAAGCCCCCUGAAGGAACGUUAAAGACGAUGACGUUGAUAGGCUGGGUGUGUAAGUGCAGCGAUGCAUUGAGCUAACCAGUACUAAUGAACCGUGAGGCUUAACCUU
rnacentral:rRNA from 1 species